rnacentral:rRNA from 1 species
GGGGCGGGGGCACGGGGGGCCUACGGGAGGCAGCAGUGGGGAAUUUUCCGCAAUGGGCGAAAGCCUGACGGAGCAAUGCCGCGUGGAGGUGGAAGGCCUACGGGUCGUCAACUUCUUUUCUCGGAGAAGAAACAAUGACGGUAUCUGAGGAAUAAGCAUCGGCUAACUCUGUGCCAGCAG